rnacentral:rRNA from 1 species
GACGAACGCUGGCGGCGUGCUUAACACAUGCAAGUCGAGCGGAGCGGCGAAGGGGUGAGUAACGCGUGAAUAACUGCCCCCCUCUCUGGGAGAACAGUUGGAAACGGCUGCCAAUACCGGAUAGUGGGGGAUGACUUGCGUCCUAUCAGCUUGUUGGUGGGGUAGUGGCCUACCAAGGCUACGACGGGUACCCGGCCUGAGAGGGCGCCCGGCCACAUUGGGCUAAGAGACGGCCCAAACUCCUACGGGAGGCAGCGGUGGGGAAUAUUGCACAAUGGGGGAAACCCGUAUGCAGCAACGCCGCGUGCGGGAUGACGGCCUUCGGGUUGUAAACCGCUUUCAGCCAUGACACGGUAGUGGCAGAAGAAGCACCGGCUAACUACGUGCCAGCCGCCGCGGUAAUAC